UACGUAGGGGGCAAGCGUUGUCCGGAAUGAUUGGGCGUAAAGGGCGCGUAGGCGGCUUUAUAAGUCUGGAGUGAAAGUCCUCUUUUCAAGGGAGGAAUUGCUUUGGAAACUAUAGAGCUUGAGUGCAGGAGAGGUUAUCGGAAUUCCCGGUGUAGCGGUGAAAUGCGUAGAUAUCGGGAGGAACAUCGGUGGCGAAGGCGGGUAACUGGACUGCAACUGACGCUGAGGCGCGAAAGUGUGGGGAGCAAAC
rnacentral:rRNA from 1 species